UUCCAUCCCACUUACAGGACUGUUUAUUGUUCGUCACCCACCCAAUUACCUACGUGGCAGGAACACCUAUGACUGUUGCACCGGAACACCUUCAUCACCCACACCGGCCUGACCACCUCCGUAUCCGUAACUCCGUAUAUAGUGACUCGAGUGACGGGACAGAGGAAGACUUGUGACCUCUUCGCCUCUGCCAGAUAGACCUGUGAUUAGCAAGGCCACACCUCCGCACACCUGAGCCACAGUGAAGAACGCCAGGUGCCUGAGAUACGCUCUACUGGGGACGAGGAGUGGUGGUGGUGGUGGUGGUGGUAGUGGUGGUGGAGGGAUCACGGUCGCCGCCUAGAAGACACUAUGGAGGACACUGGAGGACUGGAGGACACUGCAAGGUUGGGUUCCCAAGUGAGGCAGACAGCUCACCUUGUUGUCCGCACCAUCGCUGGAUGCCAGGGAUUGGAUGCGUGUUGUGAUGGCCGUCACUGCCUUGUUGACCCGAGUGAUGAGUGUCUCCCCCUCCAUGGCGCCAGACCCCUGACUGCCCUCCACUGCCCCUGCCUCGUGUUGCUGCUGCCGGAAUAUAGAGGAGAACUGCUUCAAUGAAGAGCACAAAAGUGGCUGUGAAGCAAUUUUUGUGUUGUCACUCCAGAUGUUCCCAGUCCAUCCAAGGGUCAACAUCACUCUUAAGUCCUGGGAUCUAGGUGUGGUGGAGAGUAUGGUGCCUGAACACACAGUGAGCAGUCAAAGAAGGUGGAGAAUGGUCAAGAAUGCUUUCCUCCUUUGAUGCCAGACAGCUGCUUGAAUUGUGCAUGUGCAUCCCUGCCAGUACCAGCCCACAAAUUGAUGUAACCAGAUGUAACCAUAUCAGACUCUGGCAACAUGAGUUGAUGAAGAACACAAAGCUGAACACACUGCCACAUGAAAAACAUGCCAGUUUGGAUUUUUCCAGACACUAAGCAAGAUAUCUCCACAGCUUUCAUGAAGAAGCACAAAGCCCAAACUUACCUUGUGC